rnacentral:rRNA from 1 species
GAUGGACCCGCGUCUGAUUAGGUAGUUGGUGGGGUAACGGCCCACCAAGCCGACGAUCAGUAGCCGACCUGAGAGGGUGACCGGCCACAUUGGGACUGAGACACGGCCCAAACUCCUACGGGAGGCAGCAGUGGGGAAUAUUGGACAAUGGGCGAAAGCCUGAUCCAGCGACGCCGCGUGAGUGAAGAAGUAUUUCGGUAUGUAAAGCUCUAUCAGCAGGGAAGAAAAUGACGGUACCUGACUAAGAAGCCCCGGCUAACUACGUGCCAGCAGCCGCGGUAAUACGUAGGGGGCAAGCGUUAUCCGGAUUUACUGGGUGUAAAGGGAGCGUAGACGGUUAAGCAAGUCUGAAGUGAAAGCCCGGGGCUCAACCCCGGUACUGCUUUGGAAACUGUUUGACUUGAGUGCAGGAGAGGUAAGUGGAAUUCCUAGUGUAGCGGUGAAAUGCGUAGAUAUUAGGAG